rnacentral:tmRNA from 1 species
GGGGGUGUAAAGGUUUCGACGGGGGUAUAGAAACAUCUUAAGCGAGCCGCAGUUGCCCAGUCUGCGUACUAAGGGGCCGUUUAAAUAUAAACGCUAAAAACGAAAACAAUUUCGCACUGGCUGCAUAGUCAGCCACACGUGCUGCCAACUCAGCUUCACCCGCAGAGCUGAGACCUGGUAUCGACCAUGCGGGAAAACUCAGGCGGGGUUUCCGGACCGUCUGGGGACCAAUCCGGAAUAGCCGGCCCGGAAGUCUGCUGAUGGACGUCCGGUGAAGCGAAACUGAAACCAUCAGAUGCGCUCGGAGAAAUAGGUGCGGAAAUAUUUUCGGACAGGAGUUCGAUUCUCCUCAUCUCCACCA